rnacentral:rRNA from 1 species
UAUACAGCGAAACUGCGAAUGGCUCAUUAUAUAAGUUAUCGUUUAUUUGAUAGUACCUUACUACUUGGAUAACCGUGGUAAUUCUAGAGCUAAUACAUGCUGAAAAUCCCGACUUCGGAAGGGAUGUAUUUAUUAGAUUAAAAACCAAUGCCCUCUGGGCUCUCUGGUGAUUCAUAAUAACUUCUCGAAUCGCAUGGCCUUGCGCCGGCGAUGGUUCAUUCAAAUUUCUUCCCUAUCAACUUUCGAUGUUUGGGUAGUGGCCAAACAUGGUUGCAACGGGUAACGGAGGGUUAGGGCUCGACCCCGGAGAAGGAGCCUGAGAAACGGCUACUACAUCCAAGGAAGGCAGCAGGCGCGCAAAUUACCCAAUCCCGAUUCGGGGAGGUAGUGACAAUAAAUACUGAUACAGGGCUCUUUUGGGUCUUGUAAUUGGAAUGAGUACAAUUUAAAUCCCUUAACGAGGAACAAUUGGAGGGCAAGUCUGGUGCCAGCAGCCGCGGUAAUUCCAGCUCCAAUAGCGUAUAUUAAAGUUGUUGUGGUUAAAAAGCUCGUAGUUGAACCUUGGGCCUGGCUGGCCGGUCCGCCUCACCGCGUGUACUGGUCCGGCCGGGUCUUUCCCUCUGUGGAACCCCAUGCCCUUCACUGGGUGUGGCGGGGAAACAGGACUUUUACUUUGAAAAAAUUAGAGUGCUCCAGGCAGGCCUAUGCUCGAAUACAUUAGCAUGGAAUAAUGAAAUAGGACGUGCGGUUCUAUUUUGUUGGUUUCUAGGACCGCCGUAAUGAUUAAUAGGGACAGUCGGGGGCAUCAGUAUUCAAUUGUCAGAGGUGAAAUUCUUGGAUUUAUUGAAGACUAACUACUGCGAAAGCAUUUGCCAAGGAUGUUUUCAUUAAUCAGGAACGAAAGUUAGGGGAUCGAAGACGAUCAGAUACCGUCGUAGUCUUAACCAUAAACUAUGCCGACUAGGGAUCGGACGAUGUUAUUUUUUGACUCGUUCGGCACCUUACGAGAAAUCAAAGUGC